rnacentral:rRNA from 1 species
GAUUUCUGGCCUGAAACAUUUUGCCGGCCACGGUUUCGUGUGUUAGUGCUUGAUGUUCUGGCCAUCCUUCCAAUUGCUAUUUACCUUUCUUCAUUGAUUGGUAAGUGGUAUUGGAUCUUUUACUUUGAAAAAAUUAGAGUGUUUCAAGCAGGCAGUGUUUGCUAUGAAUACAUUAGCAUGGAAUAAUCAUGUAGGACUGUUAUCGGUCUUAUUUUGUUGGUUUCGCGGGCUGAAGUCAUGAUUGAUAGGGAUAGUUGGGGGUGCUAGUAUUCAGCGGCCAGAGGUGAAAUUCUCGGAUUCGCUGAAGACUGACUUAUGCGAAAGCAUU